rnacentral:lncRNA from 1 species
CGUCACUAAAUGUUUACGUUUAAAAAUCGCAUUUCUAUUAUUACGGUACGUUUGUAUUAAAGGUACCGUGCUAAAAGGAUUUCUGAAAUAUCCAGCCAACUGAGGUUCAAGCACGCUGUCCUGAGCAUCUCAGCUAUCUGGAAUGUCUGUCCAGUUCGAUUCCAAAAGUACCUCACUGCCAAAGGACAAAUUGCCCAUAAUUGGAAUAUCAUUGCAACCGGAAGUAUGCAGUUGUGCGCUUUAAUCAUAUGGUGGUUACAAAAUCAAAAGUUGUCACCUUGGGCGAGGAUGAUCCAUAUAUUGGAAUCUCGUCCUGACAAUGUUGUUUACUCAAAAUGGAUGUCGUCGCAUUUGCUGUCGGAAAUAUAUUGCAGAUGAGAGAGCAUGAUUGCACGAGGUCAUAGCUUUGUCACAAUCUGGUGUCGUCUCUUCAGUCUGUUUAUCUAACAGUUCCUCUGUCUGUCUCUGUGUGUCUGCCUGUCUGUUUGUUUGUCUCUGUCUGUAUAUAUCUCACACACGUAACCACACGCAUAGGCUUUCUACCAGGUUAUGGUUUUAAAAUUGGACACUGCAUUUCAUGCACGUUGACAGUUUUUAAACAGCAGCUCUGUUACAACAAUGUAUCAACAAAUGAAAACAAAAUGUGUUCAUUAA